rnacentral:rRNA from 1 species
GAUGAACGCUGGCGGCGUGCUUAACACAUGCAAGUCGAACGGAAAGGCCCAAGCUUGCUUGGGUCCUCGAGUGGCGAACGGGUGAGUAACACGUGGGUGAUCUGCCCUGCACUUCGGGAUAAGCCUGGGAAACUGGGUCUAAUACCGGAUAGGACCACAUUUUGGAUGGUGUGGUGGAAAGUUUUUCGGUGUGGGAUGAGCUCGCGGCCUAUCAGCUUGUUGGUGGGGUAAUGGCCUACCAAGGCGUCGACGGGUAGCCGGCCUGAGAGGGUGUACGGCCACAUUGGGACUGAGAUACGGCCCAGACUCCUACGGGAGGCAGCAGUGGGGAAUAUUGCACAAUGGGCGCAAGCCUGAUGCAGCGACGCCGCGUGGGGGAUGACGGCCUUCGGGUUGUAAACUCCUUUCGCUAGGGACGAAGCGCAAGUGACGGUACCUGGAGAAGAAGCACCGGCUAACUACGUG